rnacentral:lncRNA from 1 species
UUCAGCUAUCAUUUUGCAGUUUUGUGAGUGUGUCUGAAGGAGAAAUCUCUAGAAGCAGACUCACUGAAUCAAUUGUGUUUCUGACAGGUGUUUCCAAAUCGCCGAAAUGCAUAUGUAGCAUUUGCCGCCUGUGCCCAGCUCACAUUCCGAGGACCUCUCAGUGUGUUUCUGUGACUUCCAACGGUCAGUAUCUGCAUCCUUGUGCCUGAGGGUCCACCCUCCCCAUUGCUGAUUGCAGAAGGUUUUCUGUGGGAUUGUGGCGGUCAUGAGGACAGAAAAUUACCCAACACACACACACACACACACACACAACCGUCAUCCAUGACUCUUCAGCUCCCCAUCCCUCCAGUGGGAUAAUUCUGAGGUUUGUAUGUUGUAUUAUCUUCCAGAGUUUUCCCACAAGGUAGCAGGUUUAAUAAUGCACCUUUCGGUAGCUGCCUUACUUUUUCUAUGUCUCUUCCCUACUUCCCUUUCCAGUGUCCUCUACCAGUGGCCCAAUUUGAGGUGCCUUCCUUGCAUUCUUUUUGUUUGGAAUUACAAUCCGGCAAAAGUGAGGCGUUGUUGCUUUUAACAGUUAAAUCUCGGGGCUGCAGUCAAAGGUGCGAAGCGUCCAUGUGGAUGAAGAGUUGACAGCGUCGUUUUAAACAUCUGAAAACUGGAAUUGCAGGAAAGUGCUCAGAGAGCCAUAAUUACAGUAGCACUCCCAGCUGCUGCCGUGACAAUUUUAUUGCCAACAUGCUGGUCUAUUUCACCUCCUUCGCUAGUGGGGGAAGGGCCAGAGGAGCAGGCAGCCUAGCAAAGAUAGGUACCAUUUGCAUAAUGACAUUUCUACAUCCAUUUCUAUACUACUAGAGACCCUUCUCCUGCCCUUUCAAUGUUGAUGUUUUCCUGUCUCCGAGGAAAACACAGCUUUGGGCGAGCCAGAGUCAAGGUGGCACAGGCCUUCAGAAUUUCUAGACUCCUCCAUUUUAGCCAAUUCUUUCACCAUAAUCUGUUAUGGGAGAGGAAAAGGGUAGAGGAAACCUAGGGAGGCAAAUUUUAAAGCUAGAGUUGGAAUCGCCUUUGCCAUGAAAAACAAUCCUUCUGGCUCUUUAGUUUUGUUUUUAACAUAACUUUCAAAAAAACACAACAUAAGUUUAUUGUGGAAAAAUCAGAGAACACUGGGAGGCAGAAAGAAAAAGAAAACCGCCACCCAGGGCUAUCUAACAUUUUAGUGUAUGCCCUUCCAGUCUCUCGCUCUCUAGUGUAUUUUGGUUUGCUGUUGUUAUUUUUUCAAAACAUAGGAUCACUUCUAAAUUAUUAUUUUGGAACUGGUUUUUCUUAACUCAAAGAAUAAAUUGUCAACAUUUAACCCCA